rnacentral:rRNA from 1 species
GACGAACGCUGGCGGCGUGCUUAACACAUGCAGGUCGAACGGUGAAGCGCCUUCCUUUUUGGUGGGUGUGGAUGAGUGGCGAACGGGUGAGUAACACGUGAGUAACCUGCCCCCUUCUUCUGGAUAACCGCAUGAAAGUGUGGCUAAUACGGGAUAUUCUGGGUCUGUCGCAUGAUGGGUCUGGGAAAGAUAUUGUUUCGGUGGGGGAUGGGCUCGCGGCCUAUCAGCUUGUUGGUGGGGUGAUGGCCUACCAAGGCGGUGACGGGUAGCCGGCCUGAGAGGGUGGACGGUCACACUGGGACUGAGACACGGCCCAGACUCCUACGGGAGGCAGCAGUGGGGAAUAGUGCACAAUGGGCGCAAGCCUGAUGCAGCGACGCCGCGUGAGGGAUGGAGGCCUUCGGGUUGUGAACCUCUUUCGCCAGUGAAGCAGGCCUGCCUCGUUUGUGGGUGGGUUGACGGUAGCUGGAUAAGAAGCGCCGGCUAACUACGUG